rnacentral:rRNA from 1 species
UGGGCUCGCGGCCUAUCAGCUUGUUGGUGGGGUAGUGGCCUACCAAGGCGACGACGGGUAGCCGGCCUGAGAGGGCGACCGGCCACACUGGGACUGAGACACGGCCCAGACUCCUACGGGAGGCAGCAGUGGGGAAUAUUGCGCAAUGGGCGAAAGCCUGACGCAGCGACGCCGCGUGGGGGAUGACGGCCUUCGGGUUGUAAACCUCUUUCAGCAGGGACGAAGUUGACGUGUACCUGCAGAAGAAGCGCCGGCUAACUACGUGCCAGCAGCCGCGGUAAUACGUAGGGCGCAAGCGUUGUCCGGAAUUAUUGGGCGUAAAGAGCUCGUAGGUGGCUUGUCGCGUCGGGUGUGAAAGCUUGGGGCUUAACUCCAGGUCUGCAUUCGAUACGGGCUGGCUAGAGGUAGGUAGGGGAGAACGGAAUUCCUGGUGUAGCGGUGAAAUGCGCAGAUAUCAGGAGGAACACCGGUGGCGAAGGCGGUUCUCUGGGCCUUACCUGACGCUGAGGAGCGAAAGCGUGGGGAGCGAACAGGAUUAGAUACCCUGGUAGUCCACGCUGUAAACGUUGGGCGCUAGGUGUGGGGGCCUUCCACGGUUUCCGCGCCGUAGCUAACGCAU